UUAAGCGACUAAGCGUACACGGUGGAUGCCCUGGCAGUCAGAGGCGAUGAAGGACGUGCUAAUCUGCGAAAAGCGCCGGCGAGGUGAUAUGAACCUUUGACCCGGCGAUGUCCGAAUGGGGAAACCCAGUGCAAUUCGUUGCACUAUCGUUAACUGAAUACAUAGGUUAACGAGGCGAACCGGGGGAACUGAAACAUCUAAGUACCCCGAGGAAAAGAAAUCAACCGAGAUUCCCCCAGUAGCGGCGAGCGAACGGGGAGCAGCCCAGAGUCUGAAUCAGCUUGUGUGUUAGUGGAAGCGUCUGGAAAGUCGCACGGUACAGGGUGACAGUCCCGUACACGAAAGCACACAGGCUGUGAACUCGAAGAGUAGGGCGGGACACGUGGUAUCCUGUCUGAAUAUGGGGGGACCAUCCUCCAAGGCUAAAUACUCCUGACUGACCGAUAGUGAACCAGUACCGUGAGGGAAAGGCGAAAAGAACCCCGGCGAGGGGAGUGAAAAAGAACCUGAAACCGUGUACGUACAAGCAGUGGGAGCACCUUCGUGGUGUGACUGCGUACCUUUUGUAUAAUGGGUCAGCGACUUAUAUUCUGUAGCAAGGUUAACCGUAUAGGGGAGCCGAAGGGAAACCGAGUCUUAACUGGGCGUUAAGUUGCAGGGUAUAGACCCGAAACCCGGUGAUCUAGCCAUGGGCAGGUUGAAGGUUGGGUAACACUAACUGGAGGACCGAACCGACUAAUGUUGAAAAAUUAGCGGAUGACUUGUGGCUGGGGGUGAAAGGCCAAUCAAACCGGGAGAUAGCUGGUUCUCCCCGAAAGCUAUUUAGGUAGCGCCUCGUGAACUCAUCUUCGGGGGUAGAGCACUGUUUCGGCUAGGGGGCCAUCCCGGCUUACCAACCCGAUGCAAACUACGAAUACCGAAGAAUGUUAUCACGGGAGACACACGGCGGGUGCUAACGUCCGUCGUGAAGAGGGAAACAACCCAGACCGCCAGCUAAGGUCCCAAAGUCAUGGUUAAGUGGGAAACGAUGUGGGAAGGCACAGACAGCCAGGAUGUUGGCUUAGAAGCAGCCAUCAUUUAAAGAAAGCGUAAUAGCUCACUGGUCGAGUCGGCCUGCGCGGAAGAUGUAACGGGGCUAAACCAUGCACCGAAGCUGCGGCAGCGACGCGUAUGCGUUGUUGGGUAGGGGAGCGUUCUGUAAGCCGUUGAAGGUGUGCUGUGAGGCAUGCUGGAGGUAUCAGAAGUGCGAAUGCUGACAUAAGUAACGAUAAAGCGGGUGAAAAGCCCGCUCGCCGGAAGACCAAGGGUUCCUGUCCAACGUUAAUCGGGGCAGGGUGAGUCGACCCCUAAGGCGAGGCCGAAAGGCGUAGUCGAUGGGAAACAGGUUAAUAUUCCUGUACUUGGUGUUACUGCGAAGGGGGGACGGAGAAGGCUAUGUUAGCCGGGCGACGGUUGUCCCGGUUUAAGCAUGUAGGCGGAGGUUCCAGGUAAAUCCGGUACCUUUUAACGCUGAGGUGUGAUGACGAGGCACUACGGUGCUGAAGUAACAAAUGCCCUGCUUCCAGGAAAAGCCUCUAAGCAUCAGGUAACAUCAAAUCGUACCCCAAACCGACACAGGUGGUCAGGUAGAGAAUACCAAGGCGCUUGAGAGAACUCGGGUGAAGGAACUAGGCAAAAUGGUGCCGUAACUUCGGGAGAAGGCACGCUGAUAUGUAGGUGAAGCCCCUGCGGGUGGAGCUGAAAUCAGUCGAAGAUACCAGCUGGCUGCAACUGUUUAUUAAAAACACAGCACUGUGCAAACACGAAAGUGGACGUAUACGGUGUGACGCCUGCCCGGUGCCGGAAGGUUAAUUGAUGGGGUUAGCGGUAACGCGAAGCUCUUGAUCGAAGCCCCGGUAAACGGCGGCCGUAACUAUAACGGUCCUAAGGUAGCGAAAUUCCUUGUCGGGUAAGUUCCGACCUGCACGAAUGGCGUAAUGAUGGCCAGGCUGUCUCCACCCGAGACUCAGUGAAAUUGAACUCGCUGUGAAGAUGCAGUGUACCCGCGGCAAGACGGAAAGACCCCGUGAACCUUUACUAUAGCUUGACACUGAACACUGGUCCUUGAUGUGUAGGAUAGGUGGGAGGCUUUGAAGCGUGGACGCCAGUCUGCGUGGAGCCGUCCUUGAAAUACCACCCUUUAAUGGCUGGUGUUCUAACGUAGACCCGUAAUCCGGGUUGCGGACAGUGUCUGGUGGGUAGUUUGACUGGGGCGGUCUCCUCCCAAAGAGUAACGGAGGAGCACGAAGGUUAGCUAAUCCUGGUCGGACAUCAGGAGGUUAGUGCAAUGGCAUAAGCUAGCUUGACUGCGAGAGUGACGGCUCGAGCAGGUGCGAAAGCAGGUCAUAGUGAUCCGGUGGUUCUGAAUGGAAGGGCCAUCGCUCAACGGAUAAAAGGUACUCCGGGGAUAACAGGCUGAUACCGCCCAAGAGUUCAUAUCGACGGCGGUGUUUGGCACCUCGAUGUCGGCUCAUCACAUCCUGGGGCUGAAGUAGGUCCCAAGGGUAUGGCUGUUCGCCAUUUAAAGUGGUACGCGAGCUGGGUUUAGAACGUCGUGAGACAGUUCGGUCCCUAUCUGCCGUGGGCGCUGGAGAAUUGAGGGGGGCUGCUCCUAGUACGAGAGGACCGGAGUGGACGCAUCACUGGUGUUCGGGUUGUCAUGCCAAUGGCACUGCCCGGUAGCUAAAUGCGGAAAAGAUAAGUGCUGAAAGCAUCUAAGCACGAAACUUGCCCCGAGAUGAGUUCUCCCUGACCCUUUAAGGGUCCUGAAGGAACGUUGAAGACGACGACGUUGAUAGGUCGGGUGUGUAAGCGCAGCGAUGCGUUGAGCUAACCGAUACUAAUGAACCGUGAGGCUUAACCUU
rnacentral:rRNA from 2 species